rnacentral:pre_miRNA from 1 species
UAAGGGACGGACAAACACAAAGUCUCAAAAUCAGCUGAAUUUUAUUUGACAACGAAGUCUUCGUUGUCAAAUAAAAUUCAGCUGUGUUUGAGACUUUGUGUUUGUUCAUCCCUUAU